rnacentral:rRNA from 1 species
UACGGAGGAUGCGAGCGUUAUCCGGAUUUAUUGGGUUUAAAGGGUGCGUAGGCGGAGUGCCAAGUCAGCGGUAAAAAUUCGGGGCUCAACCCCGUCGUGCCGUUGAAACUGGCGCCCUUGAGUGGGCGAGAAGUAUGCGGAAUGCGUGGUGUAGCGGUGAAAUGCAUAGAUAUCACGCAGAACCCCGAUUGCGAAGGCAGCAUACUGGCGCCCGACUGACGCUGAAGCACGAAAGCGUGGGUAUCGAACAGG